GAAUUCCUAUCUCACUUUCCUCGGCUUGAGUUUCUCUGUGGGCAAUGGCUCCGGACUCAGGUCCCCUUCCUGAAGAGCCGCUCUUAAAGGUGCUACCCUUAGACGCUAAGGACAGGGGCACUCAGCGCUGUCGCUUGGGCCCGUCCGCCCUCCGCGCUUUGGGCGCGCACUUGGGCUCGGCGGUGAAGAUCUCUCUGCCUGACGGCGGCUCCUGCGUCUGCACUGCCUGGCUGCGGCGGGACGGAGCAGACGGCUUUGUUCAACUGGAUCCGCAGUGCGCGAGCCCCGGGGCGGCCGUGGAGGCUUCAGGGUUCCGGGGUAAUCUCCGCUUAAGCAGCCUCCGCCUGGUGUCCUGCCCGUCGCUGCGGCACCUCAGUGUGUGGCCGGUGUUGCGGGAGGGGGCGGGCGCGCCCGGGGCCUCGAAUCCAGCCGCGGUACUGGAGGCGGCGCAGGAGCUUCUCAGGAACCGACCUGUCUCCCGGGGCCACGUGGUGACCGCUCCGCCGGGCGCCCCGGGUCCCGUAGCCGCGCUGCACAUCGUCAGCGGGGCGCCCAGCCCGGAUCCGGCCGGGCUAGUCACUCCUCGCACCCACAUCGGUCUCAGCGGGGUGCCUCCGUCGGAAGCGGAGCCACGGCCCGAGGUGCCCUUGGGGGGCCUUUCGGAGGCGGUCGACUCGCUGCGGGAGCUCCUCAGCCUGCCGCUCCGCUACCCUCGCACCUUGGCGGCCCUGGGGCUGGCAGUGCCUCGCGGGGUGCUCCUGGCGGGUCCCCCCGGAGUGGGCAAGACUCAGCUAGUGCGGGCCGUGGUCCGGGAAGCGGGCGCGGAGCUGCUGGCAGUGAGCGCCCCCGCGCUACAGGGCGCCCGGCCCGGGGAGACCGAGGAGAACGUGAGGCAGGUCUUCCGGCGCGCGCGGGAGCUGGCCAGCCGCAGACCCACCCUCCUCUUCCUGGACGAGUUGGACGCCCUGUGUCCCCGGCGGGGCGGCCCACACCGAGCCCCCGAGAGCCGCGUGGUGGCCCAGGUGUUGACGCUGCUAGACGGCAUCAGUGGGGACCGCGAGGUGGUGGUCGUGGCAUCCACCAACCGGCCGGACGCUCUAGACCCAGCGCUGCGCAGACCGGGGAGAUUUGACCGAGAGGUAAAUGGGCGGGGCCAGUCUGACCUUUGUUCCUGGAACCUCGGCCUCUUCUGGCCUUGAUUGGCUGCCCCUAGGCGGUUGCCACUUAGGUUUGGCAGUCGGUGAGGCUGGAGUGGGGCUUUGUGUGGUGCAGAGAACCUGUUCUCUGUCCUUGUGUGAUCUGUGAGCCGGGGCCUGUUUUUCCCGAGUCAAAUUGAGAAGCAAGGUGGCCUUUAGGGAUGAGUUUUGUUGUGCAGGUCCUGAAGAUGAGUACCACCAGUAAUGUUAAUUGGGGAACUAGUUCAGCUAUAAGUGUAUUCAACUCUUAUGGAUUUGGAAUGAAAAUUAAAAUUAGGAUAGCUUCAAGAAAUGAGUGUGUUGAAAUAAAAAGGGAGAAGUCGGGAAAGAUCUAAAUCAAAGCAGGCAUUAAUUCUUCUGGACUUAUUCAUUCCUUGUCAGGACACCAGCAUCCUGACCCACAAGUGAGAAAUUACCCACAAUUGCUCUCUGAGUUGCCAGAAAGAUUGAGUACUCAAAAGCUGAACUAUUUUACAAGCUUUAGUCCCAAAUUGAUUCCUGAUUAAAUAGUUUGAAUAGUGGUUAAGUGAUAUUUGAACUUUGUGUUAGGAAUCUAAAGAGACAGAUGAUAAUUGCACACUUUUAGCUUAAUCUGUGCAUAACUUGAGCACAUUUGUUUCUUUUUUGCAUCAUCUAGUACUUGUCUCCUGAAUAAAAUCCAUAAGGGCAGGGACCUAGACUAUCUGGUUUACUGUUGCACCCUUGGCUGGUAGAACUUGGGAAGUUGUAAAAAAUAACAAAAUGUUGUUAAAUGACAUACAGAGGGCCUCUGGUUUUAUGGUGGUGUGAAUGCCAUAGUCAUUCAGUAGGAAACGUAUUUUGAAUUUUGAUCUUUUGCCAAGCUAGCAAUAUACUGUAAAAUGCUCUCUUGUGAUACUGGGCAGCCACGAGAUCAUGAGGGUAAACAGCUGACACGUUGACAACCGUUUUAUACUCAUCCAAACAUUCUGUUUUUCACUUUCAUACAGUAUUCAAUAAAUUGUAUGAGAUACUCAAAACUUUAUUGUAAAAUAGGUUUUGUGCUAGAUGAUUUUGCUGAACCACCAGCUGAUAAUGUAAGUGCUCUGAGCAUAUUUAAGUAGGCUAGGUUAAGCUGUGAUGUUCAGUACGUUAGGUAUAUUAAAUGCAUUAUCCGCUUACUGUAAUUCCAGCUUAUGAUGCAUUUAUUGGGAUGUAACCCCAUCUUAAGGUGAGGAAGAUCUGUAUGUAAUUUUCAUUGUGCAACUAUCCAGCCAGUGUUACUCCUCUGGAAAAUUAGGAUUUUAAUAUAUUCAGAAUCUAUGGCAUCCUUAAGAGUACAUAGUUGUAGUGCCAAAUUUGCUCAGUAAGUAUACACCUUUGAGAGGAUAUAAAUAUUAUACAAUGUUUUAAGCUGUGUAAGCUUUAAUUUCUCUUUUUUUGCUUUGCAUAUAGGUUGUCAUUGGGACUCCCACACUUAAACAAAGAAAGGCGAUACUCCAGGUGAUUACCUCAAAGAUGCCCAUCUCCAGUCAAGUCGAUUUGAGCCUCCUUGCAGAAAUGACAGUUGGUUACGUUGGUGCGGACUUGACUGCACUUUGUAGAGAAGCUGCCCUGCAUGCUCUCCUUCAUAGUAAGAAGGUAGGAAGCACUGAUUUAUGACUGUGUAUGUUGGCCUUUUGAUUAAUAUAGCAAAUUAAUUUGGGAUUAAACAAGUGGUAAGUACAUUUUUUUGGAACUUUUGAUACCUUCCACAGUUAUUUCUUACCUGUAUUUCUACAUCUCCGCUCCAUGGGAAUAGCAUAAGACUGAAGGUGGGGACAGAGGGCUGAGUCUUCCAGGUCUACCAGGACAUUUUCCCUCAUUGCCAAAGGGAACCACCUAGUGUGCAGAAGCCCAGAGCAGCUAGGGAAGAUAGCGUGGCCCCCAGAAGAAUCAAAUGUAUUUCUUUUUAAUUUUUGGUUUUGUUUAUUUUGAAGCAAUUUCAGACUUAGAGAAAAGUUGCAAAAACAGUACAAUUUCUGUAUGUGCUUUACCUGGAUUCUCCAAAUGUAGCAUUUUUCCAGUUUUGCUUUUUCCUUCUCUCUUCUGUGUUUUAAAUAUAUAUGUACUGUGUACGUACAUAUAUAUUUCUCUUCCUAUAUAUGAUAUAUAUAUGUCUGUGUGUGAAACAUUUGAGAAUGUACUGCAGCCAUGAUGUCCCUUUAACCUUAAAAUCUUAAGUAUAUAUAUAUUUUCUAAAAACAAAGACUUGAACCACAGUAUAAUUAUCAACAUGAGGAAAUUAACACUGACAUGAUACUUUUGUAUAAUCUCUGUAGACCUUAUCCAAAUUUGACUCUAUCCUAUUAAUUUCCUUUCUAGCAGAAAUUUAAAAAGGAAAAAAAAUAGUAAUCCAAGAUUACACAUUGCAUUUAGUUAUCCUGAUUUCUUAAUAUUCUUUAACCUAGAACCAUUUUUAGUCUUUUAUGGCUAACUUAUUAAGACUAGAGGUUAUUUUUUCUAUAGAGUAUUCCUUGGUUUGGGUUUCACUGAUGUUUCCUCAUGAUUGGAUUCAGUUUUUGCAUUUUUGGCAGAAGGGUCACAGAAAUACUGUGUUCCCAUUCCAUCUGUUUUUUCCUUAUUAAUAAAUAUUUUGUAGGGAAAAUAAACUUUUCUUUUCUUUUUUUGAAAGUAAACUUUUCUAACCCAGGAGAAGAUUGGGCACCUGGAAUUUUUCUCUAAACUUGUCUUUGACAUUGAAAUCCUUAAUUCAUGACUACUUUUCUUUAAAAUAUUUAAGAUGUUAGCUUUAAAUAUAAUAGUUUUCAACACUAUGGAUUGGAAAAUCUCUUCACUUUGUAUGUAAUAAGUAGUCAUUAAUCCCUAAACCCCUUCAGAAAAAAAUUAAUUUCAGCACCCAGAGGAUUCUAGGACAAAGUUUUCGAUCUCUAUUGUAACUAUUAUAACAUUAAAAUUGCCUUUAAUCUUGUAAUUUUUAAAAACCAGUUUUUAGCUUGUUUAAAUUAUAAAAGGAUGAUUUAUCAUCCAAGGUUUGUAAAACCUUUUUACCUAUAUAAUUUACAUCCUUCCUCAUUUCCAUUUAUUUUUACAGGUACUCUGAAGGUGGGAAGGAGUUAUGUGAACUUAUAAGUUCUCUUCUUCUGGGUUUAGAACCAAAACUGCUUGAAGACUUAAUGACACUUCUCAUGCAUAGAGGUGUGAGAAUAUAUGCCUUUUGAAGGGAGGAUGAGAGCACCAGGGUUUGGGAAGGGAGAUUUACAUUUAGGAUUCCCUCUGCUUUGAAGUUCCAGGUUUGACCUUAAACACCCUGGCUUAGGUGGACCAGCCAGCUGCUACCUCAGGAGGGGCCUGCCCAGGCAUAGCUACCGCAGGUGAUGGCUGAGUUCAUAAACAACCAGGGGAAGUGGAAGGAAGAAAGGCAAAAAGGAAGAAGGGACAGAGGCAUCUGGGAAGGUACUGGCUUCACCUUUUUCUUCUUUACCCCUCUGGCAGCUGAGGGGCUACUGCUGCCUCCAUCUAUACCAGGACAGACAAAGGAUGCAUUGAAGUUUGUUCAGCUUUUUGUGAAGUAAUCCCAUUAAAGGGUUUGAAAUAGAGUUUAAUACAUACACACACAGGGGAAAGAAUUUUAUCUGCCUAACAGGGUUAUUAGAAUCAAGUGAGAUAAUAUACAUAUAAGUGAUCUUAGUUAGUGUUACUUAAAAAUUAGUUAGGGGGUGCCUGGGUGGCUUAGGUCAUGAUCUCACAGUUCGUGGGUUUGAGCCCUGUGUUGGGCUCUGUGCUGACAGCUCAGAGCCUGGAACCUGUUUCAGAUUCUGUCUCCCUCUCUCUCUGCCCCUCCUCUGUUUGCGUUCUGUGUGUCUUUCUCUCUUUCAAAAAUAAGAAAGGUACCCAAUAUCUAAUACUCCUAGCCAAUUAGGAAAAAAAAAAAAACAUUAAAAAAAUUAUUUAAUAGCUUUCUUUGUGAGAAAUUAAACAAAAUAAAAAUAUUAUAAAGAAAGUAAAAAUUGCAUGAAAUCUCACCUCACAGAGAUUCUAAUUUUUAGGAACAUUGUUCAGAAUAGCUCUCUUUCUCUCUCUCUCUUUCUAUAUAUGUAUGUACUUAUAUAAUCUUAUAUAAAUGGGAUAGAAUAGUUUCUUGUUGAAAAUGGGAAUUUUUGGGGCGCCUGGGUGGCUCAGUCGGUUAAGCCUCCGACUUCAGCUCAGGUCAUGAUCUCGCGGUCUGUGGGUUCGAGCCCCGCGUUGGGCUCUGUGCUGACAGCUCAGAGCCUGGAGCCUGUUUCAGUUUCUGGGUCUCCUUCUCUCUCUGACCCUCCCCCGUUCAUGCUCUGUCUCUCUCUGUCUCAAAAAUAAAUAAGUGUUAAAAAAAAUUUUAAAAAAAAGAAAAUGGGAAUUUUUUUGACAACUAAGUGUUCAGAAUUUGAUAUGAGGGUAAAUCUUAAAUAUAAUACAGAUAUUACAAAUAGAUAUUAUAAAUAUAAGCAGUUUUUAACUGUAACAAAAAAUCUGUUUCACUAGAAUGAUCAAGGAAAUUUCAAGAAAGAUUCUCCACAAUGUAAUCUUAAAGUGAAGGUGGCCUUUCUAAGCAUAACAUAAAACCUAAUGCCAAAAAGGAAAUGUUUACUAAUUUGAUGAUUUGGGGAUGGCAAAACAAUAUAUAAACAAAGACAAGACAAAAGACAGACUGGGAAAAAAUACUUUGGCCUAUGACAAAAAGACCAAAUUACCUUGAUAUAGAAAGAAUUCUCACAGAUCAAUAAGACCAACAAUCUAAGAGAAAAUGGGUAAUAAAAUAUGAACAGGUAGGAGACAGUAAAAGGAUUACAAGCAGCCAAUAAAUGUGAAAAAUCCUCAACUUUACUUUCUUUAAAAAUUAGUCUCUUUCAGUUAUUUUUUAACUUUUUAUUUUGAAAUAAUUAAAAACUUGAAGGAAAGUUGCAAAAUAGAGAACUCCUGCUAAACCCUCCAUCCAAAUUCACCAAUUUUUAACAUUUUGCCAAAUUAGCUUUAUCAUUCUCUCUCUCCUUCUCUGUCUCUAAUUGUAUAUGUGUAUACAUAUUACUUAUUUUUUCUGAAUCAAUUGAGGAUGGGUUGCAUGCAUCAUAUCCCAUUAGUUAUCUAUUUCCUAAGAACAAGUAUGUCUCUAUACGUGACCACAAUAUGAUUAUGUGUACUCAUUAUAUUCAUGAAAUUUAACAUGGAUACAAAACGUUAUCAAAUCUACAGCCCAUAUUCUUAUUUUGGUAGUUGUUUCAAUCAUCUUAGCAUUUUUUCCCCUCCAGUACAGGAUCUUGUUCAGGUUAACAUAUUGCAUUUAGUUUUUAGUUUCUUUUAAUCUCCAGUACUCCCUUAGCUUUUUAAAAUGACACAUUUUACAUUGACAUUUUAGGUCAGUGAUUUUAUAAAAUGCUUUUCAAUUUGGGUUUGUCUAAUAUUUGUUCAUAGGUUCAGCUUAUGCAUGCCCAUUUGGAAUACUCCAUAAGUGAUAGUGUGUCCUUAGGGUAAUACACAUGAAGGCACAGGAUGUCUGCGUGCCCCUCGUUGGUGAUGUCUCUCAUCGGUGAUUGAGGUGAUUAGCCAGUCCAAGUUUUGUCCAGUUUCUCCACUGUAUAGUGCUGUGUUUCCCUUUGUAACUAAUAAAUCUGUGAAGAGACCUUUGAGAUCGUGCUCCUUGGCAUACUUCCCUCCCCUUUUUUGUACCCAUAGAUGAUUCUUACCCCAACAGCCUUUACUUUAAAUGGUUGCAAAAUAGCUAACUUUCUAAUUCCAUCAUUCCCUCUACCUCACUCUUGAUUGAAGAAAUUUAAUGAACGCAAUAGUGGUUACGAUUUCCUCUAUCACAUUGGCAGAAAUUUAAAAGUUUGGUGAUCUACAGUGCUGGAGAGGUAUGGGAAGAACAGCUUUAUAUUAUUGGUACAGCUUUGAGAGCAGUGUGAUAAUACCUGUCAAAAUCAUAAAUGUGCAUACUCUUAAAUCCAGUAAUUCUACUUGGAGGAAAUUAUAUAAAAUACUUGAACAUGUGCACAAGCACUUUCACCUGUAGCUUUGUUUUUAAUAACAAAAUACUGGAAACAACCUAACAUUCAACAGAAAGAUGCAGUUGAAUUAUGGUACACUCAUACAACAGUGUCAGAAAGAGUGAGGUUGAACUAUAUUAAUUGAUAGAAAAGAUUUCUAACAUAAGUGGCACAAAAGUGCAGGUUAAUUUGUACAGUGGGGUCCCAUUUAUAUAUCUGUUUGAAAAGAUGUAUGUGUCCUUACCGUCAUAAAACAUACUAGUGGCAUACACAGAGAGUGGUUGACUUCCUCUAGAGAUGUUAGUGGGGAGAGCUGGGAGAGGAGAGGAGACUUUUCAUUUUUUUUUGUAUUGUGUGUGUAGGAUUCUUUAUAAUGAUAGCAAAAUAGAUUUAUAAUUCAAAAGAAGAUUUAAAAAAAAAAAAGAAGAAGAAGUAAUUGUGCUCCUGUAUCACAAAAAGGCCCUGUAAUUUUUGGUCUGAUUUUGCUCUUUGGGGCAUAUUUCUUCAGAACCAGGACAACCCGACUAUUGAUGAAGCAGACUUCCUUGAAGCUUUCAAAAAGAUUCAACCCUCAUCCUUUCGAAGUGUCAUUGGACUGAUGGACAUCAAGCCUGUUGGCUGGGAGCAGAUUGGUGGCCUCGAAGAUGUAAAACUGAAGUUAAAACAGGUGAUAGAGAGAGUUUGCUUGCGCCAGUAGAAUGGUAGAGUUUAAGUGUAACACUUUUGUGAUGAAGACAAACCGCACUUGCUGAAACUAAUGCCAUCCUAACAUCUGAAUCCAAGGGUUACUUCUCAGUCCUUGUUUAACUGGGCUUCUAUAGGUGUCAGAUGCCAUUCAUCAUAUUUUCCUACCUCACCCUUCUCUUGUUUGUUGUUUUCUUUAAAGACUGUAUAACCUAGAAUGGAGUCAGCAGACUUUUUCUGUAGAGGGCCAGAGAGUAAACAUUUUAGGUUUGGUGGGCCAUACAGUCUUUAUUGCAACCACUCAACUCGGUAUUCAUGGCAUGAGAGCAGCCAAAGACAAUAUGUAAUCACUACUUGCGUUCUGAUGGAACUUUAUGGACACUGAAAUCAUAAUUGUCACACGUCACAAAAUAUUCUUCUGAUUUUCUUUUCAAGCAUUUAAAAAUGUAAGAGUGGUUCUUAGUUUGUGGGUGGUACAAACACAGAUUUUUAGUUUACAGGCCUGAGUUUGCCCUGGGACUGAUAAAAGCAGUUAUAAUACACAGUAUGGCCUGGGUGGCUACGGUUCUCACAGUGGAUGCUAAGGAGCACAACUCUCCAGAUCCUCUCACUGGCAUUGCAGUUUCAGAAAUUAAUUUUGUUCAUUUACCUUCAGGUGAUCCUGCCAUAAGGAACUAGAUUUCUCUAACCCCAUACAAAAGACUGAUGUAUAAGUAUCACUAAAAUUUAUUCAUCAUAACUAGAAGCUAUAUCUACAGUGAACCCUAGAAUCCUUGUGUCCGUGGAUCAUUGCAUUUAUAACAUACCCUAAUUUUUUACAUGCAUUGUCUCAUUUAAUCUUUACAAAGUGCGUGAGAGAUCAGCCACACUUCCUGUUGCGAACACUAUUUCUUUAGCUUUGAGAUGUUAAGCUUUCUUGCCUUUCUGAACAUUCCGUUCCCUAAUGUUGCCAUAAGUGUUAGUACUCCAAGCUCCUAGGAAUCCUGUUUUUGCAUUCUGUGAGUCCAUGAUCUCAAUAUCCAGGGCUUUAGCUGUCCCCUGAAAACUGUUCACUCAAAAAUCUUUAUAUCCAACACAGAUAGUUCUUUUGGUCAUCAGAGCUACUUAGCUGUCUGCCUACCAGGUAACUUCCAGGAAUCUCAAACUCAGGACAUCCAUAGCUCAGCUAAUCAACCCACCCUUCACACCUGGAUUCUCUACCUCUGUGAAUAAAGCCAGCAACCCAUCUCCUAAGUCAGAAACCUGUCUUCUAAAUGCAGGGGUCGUGCCAUACGUGCACGUAAGUUCCCCUUUGGAUUUAGAACAUAGUCCCUGCAGGGGCGCCUGAGUGGCUCAGUCAGUUAAGCAUCUGACUUCAGGCUCAGAUCAUGAUCUCAGGGUUCGCAAGUUCAAGCCCCGCAUUGGGCUCUGGGCUGACAGCUUGGAGCCUGGAGCCUGGAGCCUCCUCAGGUUCUGUGCCUCCCUCUCUCUCUCUAUCCCUCCCCAGCUCACAUUCUUUCUCCCUCCUCUCUCAGAAAUAAAUAAAAACAUUAAAAAAAAAAAAAAGAGACAGAGAAAUAUGGUCCCUGCAUAAAAGAGUUAAUUUUAUGUUUCAAAUCUAUCCCUUCCAGUACCUGUGACACAUCCAGCCUUACUAUUUUUGUAGUCAGAAUUAUUGCAAGAGACUUCUAACUGGUCGCCCUGCUUCUGUUUAUUUCUUUCCAGUCCAUUCUCCAUCCUGCUUCCUCAGUGCUGACUAAAACUUUCAAGGCUUAACACAAUCUGACUCCUACUUCCACUUUCAUUUCAUUACUCCUUGCUUCCCCUAUUCUCCUUUCUGUUACUACUUACUGUUGGGAUGAAUAAGAGUUUCAAGUGUCUCUGUGUGUAUUGUUCGUUCCCGGUGGAAUGCCCUUUUCUGGCCUCAUUGUUAGUUUACAAGCCUGCCUCCCCAACUAAAAUCUGAGUUCCCUUGCUACGGGGAUCUUAUCCUUUUUUAAUAGAAAGACAAUACAUCAGUAGUUAAGAGUUUGCACUUCCUGAUUUACAUUGCCUGGUGGGGGGCGGGGGAGGGGGACAGCCUUAGUUCUGCUGCCUCACUAGAAAUAAGACCUGGGCGAAUUACUUCACUGUUGUAAGUCUGAGCUUCUGCAUCUAUAAAAGUAUGAUGACAAUAAAACCACAUAUUCAGAGGUAAUGGGGACUUGUUUACUAUUUAGUUAACAUUUGUAGAAUGCUUACUUUGUGAAGGUGUCAUUCUAGGUAUGGGAAUUUAAGUGGUAAACUUUAUUUACAUUCUAGCCGAGCAGAAUGAUAAACCCAACAUGGAAAAAUAAUAAUUUCAGAUAGUGAAUGAGUAAGUGCUCCCAAAAUAAAAGAUGGGCAGUAGCAUAGAUUGGCGGGCGGGGAUGGGGGUGGGGUCUGCUUUAAUUAAAGUAGUUAGGGAAGACCUCUCCAAGGAAAUGACAUUUGAGCUGAGACUGAAUGAUGAGGGAUAGCCACACAGAUUUUGAAGGAGUGUUCAGGCAGAGAAAGAAUAGCAAACAAAGGCCCUGAGAUGGGAACAAACUGGGGUGUUUGGGAAAGAGGCUGCAUAAGGCCUUGUAAUAGGAAGGAGUGAUAGGAAGGAGUUCAGAUGUGGCUUUUAUUCUAAUUCUGAUGGGAAGUCACUGUAGGAUUUGAAGCAGGAAAUGAUGUGACCUGACUUAGGUUAUAAGAUCACUGGUUGCUGUGUGGAGAGUGGACUGCAUUUCCAGCUCAUAACAGGUACCUGAGAAUUGUUGAGUGAACACUUGAAUUUACUGGAUCAUAUGAUGUUUUAUCAUUAUACUAAAACAAUUGUCUCUUUUUAUGUACUUACAGAGUAUUGAGUGGCCUCUAAAAUUCCCUCGGGAAUUUGUCAGGAUGGGCCUGACACAGCCAAAGGGAGUUCUCCUGUAUGGUCCCCCUGGAUGUGCUAAAACCACCCUGGUGAGGGCCCUGGCCACAAGCUGUCAUUGCUCUUUUGUUUCAGUGAGUGGAGCUGAUCUCUUUUCUCCUUUUGUUGGAGAUUCAGAAAAAGUCUUGUCUCAGGUUUGUUUGUUUAUUUUCUCCCAUAUAGUUAAGUGUCCUUCUGAAUUUUCAUGAUAUGCCUUAAGGAUAAACCUUAGUUAUUAAAAAUAUUACUGGUCCUGGGGCGCCUGGGUGGCGCAGUCGGUUAAGCGUCCGACUUCAGCCAGGUCACGAUCUCGCGGUCCGGGAGUUCGAGCCCCGCGUCAGGCUCUGGGCUGAUGGCUCAGAGCCUGGAGCCUGUUUCGGAUUCUGUGUCUCCCUCUCUCUCUGCCCCUCGCCCGUUCAUGCUCUGUCUCUCUCUGUCCCAAAAAUAAAUAAACGUUGAAAAAAAAAUUUUUUUUUUUAAAUAUUACUGGCCUUUUUUUCAACUAGAAAAGUUAUGUAUAUUUGUUUAUAGAAAAUUUAGGAAAUAUAGGAAAGUGUUAGGUAAGAAAUCCUUUGUAAUCCCUACCUACUGUUAAUGUUUUGGUGAAUUUCCUUUAUUUUUUUGCUUUUGUUUUAAACUUGAGGGCAGAUUAUAUCUUUAUCACGAUUUUUUAAAAUCAUCAUUUAAAAAAAAAUUUUUUUUUUCAAUGUUUAUUUAUUUUUGGGACAGAGAGACAGAGCAUGAACAGGGGAGGGGCAGAGAGAGAGGGAGACACAGAAUCGGAAACAGGCUCCAGGCUCUGAGCCAUCAGCCCAGAGCCUGACGCGGGGCUCGAACUCACGGACCGCGAGAUCGUGACCUGGCUGAAGUCGGACGCUUAACCGACUGCGCCACCCAGGCGCCCCAAAAUCAUCAUUUUUAAAACUCCAUAGUAUUAAAUGUUUUGAAAAUAUGAUUUUUAACCUGUACAUAAUACUCCAUUCUUUCUUGUUCUGUUUAUUCAGUUCCCAAUUCUUAAACAUGUAGCAUCUUUCUCUUCUUUUUACAUUUUAAAAAUCAUAAGUAGUAAUACAUAAAGCAUAUAUUCACUUGAAUACUGAGUAAUGUAUAGCUUUUCAAUAAUUUUAUUUUCCCAACAAAAGGUAUUUCGACAAGCAAGAGCAAAUACUCCAGCAAUUGUGUUUUUGGAUGAAAUUGAUUCAAUCUUGGGCUCUCGAUCCAUCAGCAAAACAGAAUGUAAUGUUCAAGAGCGUGUUCUUUCUGUUCUCCUGAAUGAAUUAGAUGGUGUAGGACUGAAGACUACAGAGAGAAGAGGAAGUAAAUCAGAUCAACAGGGUAAAUACAAGGAGCUGAGAAAAAACGAAGAGGUAUUUAUUAGCCAGAAUAUACAAAACCCAGGCCAAUAUUAAAUACAGUGCAUAUACACUAGCUUUCCCUAUGUGGAUUCAUCUCAUAGAAGGAAUUAUGUAAUUUCAGUUUGACUGGAUGUUUACAGAGCUGCUAAAAAUUGUGAUUUGGCUAGAAAAGAUGAGGUAAAUUUUAUAAGUUAUCUUAAAUAUAUAUGAAUGUGAAUUUUCUUUUUCCUGAGAUUUAGAAACCUAACGUUACAUAUUGCAUAGAAAAGGGGUUUAUUCUUAUUUUUAUAUCCUGAAGAACCAGUGUUCAUCCCUUUCUAAAAGUUUUUAUAUGAAACAAAACAAAACAUUGUUAUUACCAAUGAUCUUAGUAAUUCACAACUUCCGAUUUUCUUGAGGAAUGGGUUUCCCUGCUUAUAAUGAAGUUAAAAUGACCUUCAGAAGCCCCUUCUUCCUUUCUGAGUCUCUUCCUAGAUAGAGUUUGAUACCCUUAAAUUACCCAACAGAUCCGUUUUCUUUUAUUCUUUCCUUGUUUUUACUUGUUUCCCAGUUGAAAAAUCAUUCCACAGGAGAGUCUUAUAGCUCUUGAGAAAUAUAUGACACUAGAAUCUGAAGGGGCCCAUGAGAUUUUCUAACCAAAUUUUCUUGUAACACAGGAAUUCCUUCUACAGCAUCUGACAGGUGUUCACUCACCUCUGCUAAAAUUUUGCAGAUACAGGGAAUUCACUACUUUGAGAGAUCACAUUAAUGGUGAACUACUCUGAUUAUUCAGUUCAAUUGAAAAGAAAAAAAUGUUUUAAUUCCAGUGUAGUUAACAUAUAGUGUUAUACUAGUUUCAGGUAUACAAUUUGGUGAUUCAACAAUUCCAUGUAUUACUCAGUGCUCAUCAUGAUUACUCUUUAAUUCCCAUCACCUGUUUCACCACCCACCCUGCCUCCUCCCCUCCCCUCUGUUUUCUAUAGUUAAGAGUCUGUUUUUUGUUUGUUUCUCUCUUUUUUUUUUUAACCUGUGUCCAUUUGUUUUGUUUCUUAAAUUCCACAUAUGAGUGAGAUCAUAUGGUAUUUGUCUUUCUCUGGCUUAUUUCACUUAGCAUUAUACUCUCUAGAGUCAUUCAUGUUGUUGCAAAUGGCAGGACUUCAUUCUUUUUUAUGGCUGAAUAAUAUUCCAUUGUAUAUAUACCAUAUCUUCUUUAUCCAUUCAUCUAUCAGUGGAUACUUGGGCAGCUUCUGUAAUUUGGCUAUUGUAUAAUUCUACAGUAGGGGUGCCUGGGUGGCUCAGUAGGUUAAGUGUCCAACUUUUUUUUUUUAAUUUUUGUUAAGGUUUAUUAAUUUUUGACAGAGAGAGAGAGAGAGAGAGAGAGAAAGCGAGUGCAUGAGUGGGGGAGAGGCAGAGAGAGGGAGACACAGAAUCUGAAGCAGGCUCCAGGCUCUGAGCUGUCAGCACAGAGCUCGGCACAGGGCUCGAACUCACGGACCAUGAGAUCAUGACCUGAGCCGAAGUCGGACGCUCAAUCGACUGAGCCACCCAGGCACCCCAGGUGUCCAACUUUGGCUCAGGUCAUGAUCUCAUGGUUUGUGGGUUCCAGCCUAGUGUCAGGCUCUGUGCUGACAGCUCAGAGCCUAGAGCCUGCUUCAGAUUCUGUGUCUCCUUCUCUCUCUGCUUCUUCCCCACUUGUGCUUUGUCUCUGAAAGCUUGUUUCCCUUGCCUCAGGAGACAAAAAUAUUGUUACAGCUGAUGCAGAGAAAUUACUGCCUGUGCUCUCUUUAAGGAUUUUUAUGGUUUCAGGUCUCACAAUUAGGUCCUUAAUUCAUUUUGAGUUUAUUUUUCUGUAUGGUGUAAGAAAGUAGUCCAGUUUCAUUCUUUUGCAUGUAGCUGUCCAGUUUUCCCAACACCAUUUGUUGAAGAGACUGUCUUUUUCCCAUUGCAUAUUCUUGCCUCCUUUGUUGAGGCAAAGGCACCAUAUAAUUGUGAAUUUGUUUCUGGGCUUUCUAUUCUGUUUUAUUGAUCUAUGUGUCUAUUUUUGUGCCAAUACCAUCAGUACCAUACUGUUUAGAUUACUGCAGCUUUGUAGUGUAAUUUGAAAUCUGGGAUUAUGAGGCUUCCAUCUUUGUUUUUCUUUUUCAAGGUUACUUUGCGGUCUUUUGUAGUUCCAUACAAAUUUUCGCAUUCUUGUUCUAUGGCAAGUGCUGUUGGUAUUUUGAUAGAGAUUGCAUUAAAUCUGUAGAUUGCUGGGUAGUAUAGACAUUUUAACAAUGUUUGUUCUUCCAGUCCAUGAGCAUGGGAUGUCUUUUCAUUCUUCAAUUUCUUUCAUCAGUGUUUUAUAAUUUUCAGAGUACACAGGGCUUUCACCUCCUUCGUUAAGUUUAAUUCCUCGGUAUUUUAUUAUUUUUGGUGCAGUUGUAAAUGGGAUUGUUUUUUAAAUUUCUCUUUCUGCUGUUUCAUUAUUAGUGUAUAGAAAUGCAAUGGAUUUCUGUACAUUGAGUAUCCUGUAACCUUACUGCAUUCAUUUAUCAGUUCUAGCAGUCUUUCGAUGGAGUCUUUUGGAUUUUCUUAAUAUAGUAUCAUGUCAUCUGCAAAUAGUGAAAGUUUUACUUCCUCCUUGCCAUUUUUGGUGCCUUUGUUUCUUUUUGUUGUCUGAUUGCUGUGGUUAGGACUUUUUUAGUCCAGUGUUGAAUAAAAGUAGUUGAGAGUGGACAUCUCUGUCCUGUUCUUGAGACCUUAGGGGAAAGCUCUCAGUUUUUUAUCACUGAGUAUGAUGUUAGCUGUGGGUUUUUCAUAUAUAGACUUUAUUAUGUUGGGGUAUGUUCCCUCUAAACCUAUUUUGUUGAGGGUUUUUAUCAUGAAUGGAUGUUGUACUUUGUCAGUUGCUUUUUGUGCAUCUAUUGAGAGGAUCAUAUGGUUCUUGUCCUUUCUCUAUUGAUGUAUCACAUUGAUUGAUCUGAGAAUAUUGAACCACCCUUGCAUCCCAGGAAUAAAUCCCACUUGAUUGUGGUGAAUGAUUUUUUUUAAUAUAUUGUUGGAUUCAGUUUGCUAAUAUUUUGUUGAGGAUUUUUGCUUUCAUGUACAUCAGAGACACUGGCCUUUAGUUCUCUUUUAUUGUGGUAUCUUUAUCUGGUUUUGGUAUCAGGGUAAUGCUGGCCUCAAAGAAUGAAUUUGGAAGUUUUCCUUCUUCUAUUUUAUGGAAUAGUUUGAGAAGAACAGGUAUUAACUCUUCUUUAAAAGUUUGGUAGAAUUCCCCUUUGAAGCCAUCAGGUCCUGGACUUUUUGAACUCGCAACAAACAAUUUUGAAUGCUUAGCCUGUGUAAGGCCUUGCCCUGACUGCUUUUCGGUAUUUCUUACCUUCAUCAGGAUUUACCCAUCUUCAGCUUAUGUUGUCAUAUUUCUGCCUCUGGAAAGAAAAAUAAAUAAAAAGUAAAGUAGAUCUCCAUCUUCUAGGACAUUAGAGCCAGGGUGUUUCAUAGCCAUACAUCUCUACCUGUUAGUCAUAUGCUUUGUCUUUUCAAGUCAUCUACCAAUCAUUCACUGGGGCUCAGGUACAUUCAGUAGGUGUUCUCUGCUGUGGUGUAGGCUUUCCAUUGGUUCUCACGUGGAGAGAUGUCCCCCAGGAUUGGCCAGUUCUUUCACCAUACACAGAAAGUAGUUCUUUGGUUAAUAAUUUGUAUUUGCAUACCUUGAGAUCGAGAAGGGGGUAUAAGCAUUCCCGUCCCAAGAAAAGGAUAUGCUUAUUUAAAAAUAAAUGGACCCUUCUUAUCUAUAUUUCUUAAAAAUGUAAUAACGAACAACUUAUUGACAUUACUUUUGUGUUGUGUAUUUUCCCUCAGUUAGAGUUGCGAGAAGUUUUUAAUAGAAAUGUCAUGAUUGUUGCUGCAACAAAUAGACCUGAUGUAUUAGAUGAUGCCUUAUUACGACCUGGAAGAUUAGAUAAGAUUAUUUAUAUUCCACCUCCAGAUGAAAAGGUAAUUGUACAUGUUUUACUCUAUGUUAGGAUUCUUAAUACAUCAGUGUUGGAGCUGUAAGGAGCCUGGCAGCAUUGAAUCCCAAACUGGAUAUAUACGUACCUGGUGUGUGUCUUACACUGGGCUCUGCAUUCUUCCUCGCCUCGUGGCCCUUCAUAAAGUCAUAAUUUUGAUCUGCUUUUGCUGGAUACUCUGGGCAUAUUUUCAGAGAAACAUAAGCUUAAAAGUUAAAAGUAGUUGCCUUAUUUCAUUAUUGUGUCAGACUGAAAAAAUAUCGAGCUUAUUAGGUAUACUCAACAUUAUUUUACAACUAGAAUGGAGGAAUCCUAAAAUGUCUGGAGAAUAUAUGUAUCUGUAUCCUUAUUUUACAGUGGGAAAAUCUGACGUUAGAGUGAUUACACAAUUUAUCCAUAGUCAAACAAUCAAUAAAUCUUUUGCCCUUAACAUCCACAGCCACCGAUAGGGAGAGACUAAUGACAAAGAAUGAAUUUUUUCCUCCCUUCCUAAAUAAUAAAUAAAUAAAUAUUUAAAUGUCUGUUUAUUUUUAAAUUAUGUCUGGAUAAGUCAUGUGUUUCCUUCUUAAUCCAUGUCUGAUAACACUAUUUGUACCCAAAAGAAGGGGAUUCAUCAUGUCUCUUAAAGAAAUAUAUCUACAAUCAGCUAUUUUAAAAAUGAUUAUAAAAGUGUUAGCAAUUUAUCAUGUCAUUAUUUUUACCAUUGUCAUAUGAGCCAUUGAUGAAGUACUUUUUCUUAUCUCUUCAGAAGUGAUUCUUUCUUAUUUAAUCAUUAAAAUAUACAUAACACUUUCUCUGUAGUAUGACAGGAAACACUCCCUUGAAAUAUUUUAAUCUAGCUUUGUGUCACACAUAAAUGUUAUAAGAUUAUAAACAUAUUACUUUUAAUUUUGUUCCAGGGCAGGCUUUCUAUUUUGAAAGUCUGUACCAAAAACAUGCCAAUGGGACCCGAUGUUUCCUUAGAAAACCUAGCAGCAGAAACCUGUUUUUUCUCUGGUGCUGAUCUUGGAAACCUUUGCAAAGAAGUAAGUUAAUUAGUGAAGGAACAUAUGGUUGAGAACAUUUCUUCAUUUAUUCAGAUCUUCAUUCACUUGGUAGCAUUUACUGAAGGACUGCUAUGUGGUGGGCACUGUGGAAGGUGAAACAGAUGUCGCCACUGCCCUGCCCUUCCAGAGCUUACAGGUACAUGGCGAGUUGCAGAGAGGCAAAUUGUAGUACUCAGUUGGCAACUGAAAAUAUGUGGUGAAUCAGGAAGUUCAGGGACUGAACCAGACUUGGGGGCAUCAGAGAAGGCUCUCGUGUGUAAACUGAGAUUGGAAGGAUGGUGAGACCAUUGACCAGGCUAAGGGAGGGGAGAAAAUGUGCGGACGACUGGAGUAAGAGAUAACAUGCCUUUAUUGAGGAGAUGGACAAUGGCCAGAUCACACAGGUCCUUGUAAGCCACUUUAAGGAAUUUAGACUUUGAGAGUAAAAGAAGCCAUCGUAGGUGUUUCCUUUUCCAUAACCUUUUAUUAAAUGUACUGUUCAGGAAAAUGCACAGAUAUAAGGAUAUGGUUCACUGAAUUAACAUAAAAUGAACACACUGUGUAACUACCAAGAAAGAGAACAGUAUCAAUACCCCAGAAGCUUCGCUUGGGGCUUUCCCAAUCUCUCUCCCAAAAGGGAAGUACUCUUCUGACUUCCAGCACUGGAGAUUAGUUUGCAUAUUUUUGAACUUUAUAAAGAUAGGACCCUACUGUAUACUUUUAUGUCUGCUUCUUUAACUCAGGAUUAUGUUUGUGAAAUUCAUCUGUGAUUUUGUGCAUAACAGUAGUUUGUGCAUGCCCAUCACUUUAUGGUUUAUGAAUAUACUGUGUUCAUUCUUUUGAACGUUUGGGUUACGACUUUUUUUUAUAAAUUGUGCUGCUGUGAACAAUCUUGUGUAUGUGUCUGUAUAUACUUAUAGAGAGAAUUGCUAUGUUAUAGAGUAUGUGUUUGACCUUUUCCUUUAUGAUCAGUGUUGUGUCCUAUUUAAAAACUCCUACUCUGGGGUACCUGGGUGGCUCAAUCAGUUAAACAUCUGACUCUUGAUUUUGGCUCAGGUCAUGAUCUCGUGGUUUGUGAGUUUGAGCCCUGCAUCAGCUCUGCACUGACAGUGUGGAGCCUGCUUGGGAUUCUCUGUCUCCCUCUCUCUUUCUGCCCCUACCCCAUUCAUGUGCACAUACUGUCUCUCAAAAUAAAUAAACUUAAAAAAAAAAAAAAAAAAAACUACUCUGAGGUCAGGGAGAUAGUCUCUCAUCUGUAAAUAUUUUUAUGGGCUCAUAGUGUAUAUAUUAUUAUUACAACUUGCAUUUUCUUUUUUCCCAUUUAAGGCUAGAGUUUAAUGUAGAAGAAAUGAUGAUCCAUUGAGACAACUUUUAAACACGAUAUUUAACUUUUUAAUAUUUGGUUAUGAGUGUUGGAAUUCUGAGAAGUGGGACUGAGGUUUUUACACUUAGGUUUUGAAGUAUUGCCAUAAAUUGUAAAAAAUGAAGCACAUUAAUUACUUCCUAUUGUUUGUCUCUUAUAGGCUGCCUUGCUGGCUCUGCAAGAAAAUGGACUAGACGCAACCACAGUGAAACAAGAGCACUUCCUGAAAUCACUGAAGACUAUAAAACCGUCCUUAAGUCGCGCGGACUUGACUUUAUAUGAAAACUUAUUUCAGGAACAAGGAUUAUCUAACUUAGAGGAUUUUUAAAAAUUACGUUACAUCCCUGCUCAAGGAUUAAUUGAACUGUGAACUUGCUCUAUGAUUUGCAACUUCGCAUUUUUAGAGUUUGUGUGUAUCAUUUCCUGUAAAUAAAAGGGAUAAGCACCUGAUAAGCUAAAGUUCAUCUUAUUUCUAAAAAGUAUAUGAAAAUACCAUAAUUUGGGAAGAGAGUAUAUGUAUGUUGAUUUUUGUAAUGGGGAUGGUGGUUGCUUUUGUUUGUUUGGGGUUGGUUUUUUUUUUUUUAAGUUUUAUUUAUUUUUGAGAGAGAGAGAGAGUGAGUGA
rnacentral:lncRNA from 1 species